rnacentral:rRNA from 1 species
AGAGUUUGAUCCUGGCUCAGGACGAACGCUGGCGGCGUGCCUAAUACAUGCAAGUCGAACGCACUCUCGUUUAGAUUGAAGGAGCUUGCUCCUGAUUGAUAAACAUUUGAGUGAGUGGCGGACGGGUGAGUAACACGUGGGUAACCUGCCCUAAAGUGGGGGAUAACAUUUGGAAACAGAUGCUAAUACCGCAUAAAACCUAACACCGCAUGGUGUAGGGUUGAAAGAUGGUUUCGGCUAUCACUUUAGGAUGGACCCGCGGUGCAUUAGUUAGUUGGUGAGGUAAAGGCUCACCAAGACCGUGAUGCAUAGCCGACCUGAGAGGGUAAUCGGCCACACUGGGACUGAGACACGGCCCAGACUCCUACGGGAGGCAGCAGUAGGGAAUCUUCCACAAUGGACGAAAGUCUGAUGGAGCAACGCCGCGUGAGUGAAGAAGGUUUUCGGAUCGUAAAACUCUGUUGUUGGAGAAGAAUGUAUCUGAUAGUAACUGAUCAGGUAGUGACGGUAUCCAACCAGAAAGCCACGGCUAACUACGUGCCAGCAGCCGCGGUAAUACGUAGGUGGCAAGCGUUGUCCGGAUUUAUUGGGCGUAAAGCGAGCGCAGGCGGUUUCUUAAGUCUGAUGUGAAAGCCUUCGGCUCAACCGAAGAAGUGCAUCGGAAACUGGGAAACUUGAGUGCAGAAGAGGACAGUGGAACUCCAUGUGUAGCGGUGAAAUGCGUAGAUAUAUGGAAGAACACCAGUGGCGAAGGCGGCUGUCUGGUCUGUAACUGACGCUGAGGCUCGAAAGCAUGGGUAGCAAACAGGAUUAGAUACCCUGGUAGUCCAUGCCGUAAACGAUGAGUGCUAGGUGUUGGAGGGUUUCCGCCCUUCAGUGCCGCAGCUAACGCAUUAAGCACUCCGCCUGGGGAGUACGACCGCAAGGUUGAAACUCAAAGGAAUUGACGGGGGCCCGCACAAGCGGUGGAGCAUGUGGUUUAAUUCGAUGCAACGCGAAGAACCUUACCUGGUCUUGACAUCCACGGAAGUUUUCAGAGAUGAGAAUGUGCCUUCGGGAACCGUGAGACAGGUGCUGCAUGGCUGUCGUCAGCUCGUGUUGUGAAAUGUUGGGUUAAGUCCCGCAACGAGCGCAACCCUUAUCCUUUGUUGCCAGCGGUCCGGCCGGGAACUCAAAGGAGACUGCCAGUGAUAAACUGGAGGAAGGUGGGGAUGACGUCAAGUCAUCAUGGCCCUUACGACCAGGGCUACACACGUGCUACAAUGGCGCAUACAAAGAGAAGCGACCUCGCGAGAGCAAGCGGACCUCAUAAAGUGCGUCGUAGUCCGGAUUGGAGUCUGCAACUCGACUCCAUGAAGUCGGAAUCGCUAGUAAUCGUGGAUCAGAAUGCCACGGUGAAUACGUUCCCGGGCCUUGCACACACCGCCCGUCA